UAAGUGGAUAAAGCAAGAGCAACUGAUGUCAUCUACCUGGACUUGUGCAAUUUGAUGCUGUCCCACAUGACAUCCUGGUUGCCAAAUCGGAAAAAAUGGACUUGAUGAAUGGACCACUGGCUGGACAAGGAAUUGGCUGGAUGGCCACACUCAGAGAGUUGCAAUCAAAGGCUCAGUGUCCAUGUGGAGACCGGCAGUGAGUGGCGUUCCUCAGGGAUCAGUACUGGGACCAGUGUUAUUUAAUACCUUUGUAGGCAACAUGGACAGUGGGAUAGAGCGCCCCCUCAUCAAGUUUGCAGGUGACACCAAGCUGAGUGGUGCAGUUGACACACGAGAGGGAAGGGAUGCCAUCCAGAGGAGGGCCACGAAGGGCUGCAAAGAAGGAAGAAGAAACCUCUGACCCUCCCAGUGCCCCCAGUGGUCAGCACAGUAGCUCAGCAACAGCAACGCCUUUCUAAUCAAACCAAUGGAUCUUGGUUUUGUGUCAGAGCCCAGAGUUGCUCCUGAUGUCCUGCUGGAGGCUCAACCUUGCAAGACCUGCCUUGGAUCUUGGUGACCCUAUCAACCACUGG
rnacentral:lncRNA from 1 species